rnacentral:rRNA from 1 species
CCCUUAGAUGUUCUGGGCCGCACGCGCGCUGCACUGAUGAAUUCAACGAGCCUAGCCUUGUCCGAAAGGUCCGGGUAAUCUCUGAAACUUCAUCGUGAUGGGGAUAGAUCAUUGCAAUUAUUGAUCUUCAACGAGGAAUUCCUAGUAAGCGCAAGUCAUCAGCUUGCGUUGAUUACGUCCCUGCCCUUUGUACACACCGCCCGUCGCUUGUACCGAUUGGAUGGUCCGGUGAAAUCUUCGGAUAGCUGGUAGUUGGCUUGCCAUCUACUGCUAAAAGUUGCUUAAACCUUAUCAUCUAGAGGAACAAGAAGUCGUAACA